rnacentral:rRNA from 1 species
UGCCAGCAGCCGCGGUAAUACGUAGGGGACAAGCGUUAUCCGGAAUCACUGGGCGUAAAGGGUGCGUAGGCGGUCUUGUCGGUCAGAUGUGAAAGCCCAGGGCUCAACCCUGGACGUGCAUUUGAAACAGCAAGACUUGAAUACUGGAGAGGAGAGCGGAAUGUGUAGUGUAGCGGUGAAAUGCAUAGAUAUUACACAGAACACCAAUUGCGAAGGCAGCUUACCAAACUAUUAUUGACGCUGAAGCACGAAAGCGUGGGUAGCGAACAGGAUUAGAUA